GCUAAGAAUAUUCCGCAAUGGACGGAAGUCUGACGGAGCGACGCCGCGUGGAUGAAGAAGGCCGAAAGGUUGUAAAGUUCUUUUGCUAGGGGAGAAUAAGUGUGGGAGGGAAUGCCUGCACGAUGACAAGGACUAGCGAAUAAGUCCCGGCCAACUACGUGCCAGCAGCCGCGGUAACACGUAGGGGGCGAGCGUUGUUCGGAAUUACUGGGCGUAAAGGGCAUGUAGGCGGCUUGGUAAGCCUGGCGUGAAAGUCUGCAGCUUAACUGUAGGGAUGCGUUGGGAACUGCUUAGCUUGAGUUACGGAGAGGGAGCUGGAAUUCCUGGUGUAGGGGUGAAAUCUGUAGAUAUCAGGAAGAACACCGAUGGCGAAGGCAAGCUUCUGGCCGACAACUGACGCUGAGGUGCGAAAGUGUGGGGAUCAAACAGGAUUAGAAACCCCAGUAGUCC
rnacentral:rRNA from 1 species